GUGAGGAAUAUUGGUCAAUGGGCGAGAGCCUGAACCAGCCAAGUCGCGUGAAGGAAGAAGGAUCUAUGGUUCGUAAACUUCUUUUGCAGGGGAAUAAAGUGCGGGACGUGUCCUGUUUUGUAUGUACCCUGAGAAUAAGGAUCGGCUAACUCCGUGCCAGCAGCCGCGGUAAUACGGAGGAUCCAAGCGUUAUCCGGAUUUAUUGGGUUUAAAGGGUGCGUAGGUGGUUUGAUAAGUCAGCGGUGAAAGUUUGCAGCUUAACUGUAAAAAUGCCGUUGAAACUGUCGGACUUGAGUGUAAAUGAGGUAGGCGGAAUGCGUGGUGUAGCGGUGAAAUGCAUAGAUAUCACGCAGAACUCCGAUUGCGAAGGCAGCUUACUAAGCUACAACUGACACUGAAGCACGAAAGCGUGGGGAUCAAACAGGAUUAGAAACCCCUGUAGUCC
rnacentral:rRNA from 1 species